ACGUAGGGAGCAAGCGUUGUCCGGAUUUAUUGGGUGUAAAGGGUGCGUAGGCGGCUACAUAAGUCAGGCGUGUAAUUCAGAGGCUUAACCUCUGAACUGCGCUUGAAACUGUGUGGCUUGAGUGGAGUAGAGGCAGAUGGAAUUUCCAGUGUAGCGGUGAAAUGCGUAGAUAUUGGAAGGAACACCAGUGGCGAAGGCGAUCUGCUGGGCUCUAACUGACGCUGAGGCACGAAAGCAUGGGGAGCAAACAG
rnacentral:rRNA from 1 species